AUACGUAGGGAGCAAACGUUGUCCGGAUUUAUUGGGCGUAAAGGGCUCGUAGGCGGUUCAACAAGUCGGUCGUGAAAGCCCGGGGCUCAACCCCGGGACGCCGGUCGAAACUGUUGUGACUAGAGUUCGGUAGAGGUGAGUGGAAUUCUCGGUGUAGCGGUGGAAUGCGCAGAUAUCGAGAGGGACACCAUUAGCGAAGGCGGCUCACUGGGCCGAUACUGACGCUGAGGAGCGAAAGCGUGGGGAGCAAACAGGAUUAGAAACCCUGGUAGUCC
rnacentral:rRNA from 1 species